rnacentral:rRNA from 1 species
GUACACGCUGUGACUAGCAUAUCAAUAAGCGGAGGAAAAGAAACUAACAAGGAUUCCCCUAGUAACGGCGAGUGAAGCGGGAAGAGCUCAAAUUUGAAAUCUUAAAGGGUUUCCCUUUACGAAUUGUAGUUUAAAGAAGUGUUUUCUGUUGAGGUUUUGGUAAAAGUUCUUUGGAAUAGGACAUCAUAGAGGGUGAGAAUCCCGUAUUUGACCUUUACUUUCAACUUUGUGAUACACUUUCAAAGAGUCGGAUUGUUUGGGAAUGCAGUCCAAAAUGGGUGGUAAAUUUCAUCUAAAGCUAAAUAUUGGCGAGAGACCGAUAGCGAACAAGUACCGUGAGGGAAAGACGAAAAGAACUUUGAAAAGAGAGUUAAACAGUACGUGAAAUUGUCAAAAGGGAAGCGUUUGACACCAGUGUUGUUUUUCUGAAAAUCAAUUAAAGAACUGUUUAUGCUAAGUUGUUUAGACUUUAUCAGCUAACUGUUUAGUUUUGAGCUUUUCUUUAAUGCACUUUUCAGUUAACAAGUCAACAUCAAUUUCUUUUGCUGUAAAAAAGCUUGAGGAAGGUGGCUUGAGAUUCGUCUUAAGUGUUUAUAGCCUCUUGCCUAUGCAGUCGGAGAGAUUGAGGUCUGCAGCGUAGAUCCUUCGGGGCUAAAUGCAUUUGUGCUAAGUUAUAGCAUUUUAUAGACAACUUGUUGACUAUGAUUUGUCUUGUAGUUUACUCGCCUAUGUUAUUUACCUACGCUUAGGAUGUUGACAGCAGUAUAGACUGU